GUGAGGAAUAUUGGACAAUGGGCGCAAGCCUGAUCCAGCCAUGCCGCGUGCAGGAAGACGCAUCUAUGGUGUGUAAACUGCUUUUGUACGGGAAGAAACACUCCCUCGCGAGGGAGCUUGACGGUACCGUAAGAAUAAGGAUCGGCUAACUCCGUGCCAGCAGCCGCGGUAAUACGGAGGAUCCAAGCGUUAUCCGGAAUCAUUGGGUUUAAAGGGUCCGUAGGCGGUUUAAUAAGUCAGUGGUGAAAGCCCAUCGCUCAACGAUGGAACGGCCAUUGAUACUGUUAGACUUGAAUUACAAGGAAGUAACUAGAAUAUGUAGUGUAGCGGUGAAAUGCUUAGAUAUUACAUGGAAUACCAAUUGCGAAGGCAGGUUACUACUUGUGGAUUGACGCUGAUGGACGAAAGCGUGGGGAGCGAACAGGAUUAGAAACCCUGGUAGUCC
rnacentral:rRNA from 1 species